rnacentral:lncRNA from 1 species
AGAAAGUAAGAGAGUGUGGACGAAACAACUGCUUCGUUGGUCAGUUUAGUAGCAUAUGGCGACUGGAAUUACACGUUAGCCGCCACCCCGAGUCGUGCACCAGCGAGCUUUGAUUGAAGGAGACGGCUGUAGCAGCACUUUGAACUCACCCUACUAAACACUGCUUGUCACAACUGACUAGUUUGCAGGAAAACAAUUUGAAAGCUCGCUAUGCAAUAAAGUUUUGUGUUAAACGAGACAAAAACACUAUAGAAACUUAUGAAAUGCUCCAGACUGGUCAUGGAUUAACUUGUAUGAAUCGAGCAUCUGUUUUUCGCUAGCACAAGAGGCCAGGCAAAGCAAAACAACCGGGGAAUUCAUAACGAUCUCCCUUUUUUGGAAGCAAAGUCAUCAUCUACAUCGACUGGGUUCUCUCUAGCCAGACGGCCAACAAAAACACUUUGUGGAGGUUUUGAGGGAGUUCAGGAAGAGAUUUCGUCGCAAAAGGCUUGAAUACCUGCACCAAUCCAAAAUUCCAUCCUGGUAAUCAAUUACUUGACAGAGAUGGGCAUCAAAACUAUACCUCAGCCUCCUUACAGUUCAGACAUUGCUUCCUGCGAUUUUUGGUUGCUCCCCAAACGGAAGGAGAAAAUGAAGGCAGCUGUUACAAGGGUCCUGAACACCUUUACGUAGGAGGACUUCCAUGGAGCCUUCACGAAGUGGCCAGAGCACUACCACAAGGGCACUGAAGUCAGAAGAUCCCAUUUUGAAGGAGAUUAGACUUUUGUACUUCUUUGAAAUUAAUAAAUACC